UACGUAGGAGGCAAGCGUUGUCCGGAAUUACUGGGCGUAAAGCGCGUGUAGGUGGUGGGACAAGUCUGCUGUGAAAGCGCCUGGCUUAACCGGGCGAGGUCGGCGGAAACUGUUCGACUCGAGGACGGUAGAGGGGGGUGGAAUUCCCGGUGUAGUGGUGAAAUGCGUAGAGAUCGGGAGGAACACCUGUGGCGAAGGCGGCCCCCUGGGCCGGCCCUGACACUGAGACGCGAAGGCGUGGGGGAGCGAACGGG
rnacentral:rRNA from 1 species